GCGGCCUAUCAGCUUGUUGGUGGGGUGAUGGCCUACCAAGGCGACGACGGGUAGCCGGCCUGAGAGGGUGUCCGGCCACACUGGGACUGAGAUACGGCCCAGACUCCUACGGGAGGCAGCAGUGGGGAAUAUUGCACAAUGGGCGCAAGCCUGAUGCAGCGACGCCGCGUGGGGGAUGACGGCCUUCGGGUUGUAAACCUCUUUCACCAUCGGCGAAGCCCAUAGCUUGUGUUGUGGGUGACGGUAGGUGGAGAAGAAGCACCGGCCAACUACGUGCCAGCAGCCGCGGUAAUACGUAGGGUGCGAGCGUUGUCCGGAAUUACUGGGCGUAAAGAGCUCGUAGGUGGUUUGUCGCGUUGUCCGUGAAAUUCCCUGGCUUAACUGGGGGCGUGCGGGCGAUACGGGCAGACUGGAGUACUGCAGGGGAGACUGGAAUUCCUGGUGUAGCGGUGGAAUGCGCAGAUAUCAGGAGGAACACCGGUGGCGAAGGCGGGUCUCUGGGCAGUAACUGACGCUGAGGAGCGAAAGCGUGGGGAGCGAACAGGAUUAGAUACCCUGGUAGUCCACGCCGUAAACGGUGGGUACUAGGUGUGGGUUUCCUUCCUUGGGAUCCGUGCCGUAGCUAACGCAUUAAGUACCCCGCCUGGGGAGUACGG
rnacentral:rRNA from 1 species